CUCUCUGACUUGUGGUCAAGGUGCUUCAGCAUAGCAAUAACCCUAAGAUAACAGUGCACCCCAAACUUCCUAGUGUAGAACAACGUGUUAGGUAAGUAAGGAGGCUUAGGGAAGGCUAUGCAGAGAGAGCCACCCAGGUCAAGCUCCAGCUCCAUCUGUCAGUCAUUGGCUGAGGUCUUCUUUUCCUGGACAGUGGUUUCCCACCCCCACACCUGGAACUAUUCACUUCUAAAACGGGACCUAAAGUAAUAGGUCUGCAGUUAGAGGACAGUGAUGUGACAAAGGCUCACCAGGAUGAGCACAUCUACAGUGCUCCCUAAUAGCUGUGACAUCAUUUGACUCAGAACACAUCAGCCCAGCUGGAUCCCUGCCAAGGGCCAGGAGUGGAAAGGAUGGAUUUAGGUUGGUCCCAUUUUUCUCUGUAGAAGCAAAUUUACGAAGGACAUCUUAGAAGCAAAAUUUCAGGACACAUGACCAGAAACAAGGUGUUCAAAACAGUGUGAAUAUUGUAAGGAGUGUGGCCACGCAUGACGUAUGAUCCCAAGGGAUUUUCACGAGACUAGUCUCUAAAACCUCCCUUGGGAUGCCGCUAUCUCAAAGGUCCUCAGUUGGAGGCUCGGUCACUGGCAGGUGGAUCUAGUCCCCUCUGUUCUGGAUCCUGAGGGUUCUGACUUUAUCGAUGAACCAAUGGAGUCAGAUCUUGGCAGUAAUGUUGGGAGGGGGUUGUUCCUGUGCUCAGCCAUGUAUCCAACACCCGAUGGCAACCACAUGCCCUUUUUUUUGCUGUGUCUCCAGACACCUUGUUUUCUCCUGGGAUGGACUCUGUGUUCCUGCCAGCACUGUGUAACGACCUUGUUGAGAAUGUGAUUCUCUGUACAUGUGUAUGUGGUGGCACACGCCUUUAAUUCCAGCGCUCGGCAGGUAGAGGCAGGCAGAUCUCUGUGUUAGAGACUAGCCUGGUCUACAGAGUGAGUUCCAGGACAGUCAGGGCUAUAUAGAGAAAUCCUGUCUCCAAUCAAUCAAUCAAUCAAUCAAUCAAACACACAAAUGUGAUUCUCAG
rnacentral:lncRNA from 1 species